AACGGGGGGGACUAGUGUUAUUCUUCGUGACUGGGCGUAAAGGGUGCGUAGGCGGUUCUUAUAAGUUUAAAUCAGAAAAUCUUAGCGUAACUUAGAAACUGGUUUUCAUACUGUAGAACUUAGAGGUCAGGGGAGGUUUGUUGUAUUCUUAGAGUAAAAGUGAAAUUUAAAGAUACUAAGAGGACAGCCGAAGGCAGAGGCAACUUACCAUAAUGAUACUGACGCUGAGGAGCGAAAGCCAGGGGAGCAAACGGG
rnacentral:rRNA from 1 species